GAUGAACGCUGGCGGCGUGCUUAACACAUGCAAGUCGAACGAUGAAGCCCAGCUUGCUGGGUGGAUUAGUGGCGAACGGGUGAGUAACACGUGAGUAACCUGCCCUUAACUCUGGGAUAAGCCUGGGAAACUGGGUCUAAUACCGGAUAGGAGCGCCUACCGCAUGGUGGGUGUUGGAAAGAUUUAUCGGUUUUGGAUGGACUCGCGGCCUAUCAGCUUGUUGGUGAGGUAAUGGCUCACCAAGGCGACGACGGGUAGCCGGCCUGAGAGGGUGACCGGCCACACUGGGACUGAGACACGGCCCAGACUCCUACGGGAGGCAGCAGGGGGGAAUAUUGCACAAUGGGCGAAAGCCUGAUGCAGCGACGCCGCGUGAGGGAUGAAGGCCUUCGGGUUGUAAACCUCUUUCAGUGGGGAAGAAGCGAAAGUGACGGUACCUGCAGAAGAAGCACCGGCUAACUACGUG
rnacentral:rRNA from 1 species